rnacentral:tRNA from 1 species
GCCUGGCGCGGCUUAGCGGGUUCCAGCGGGUUUUAUCAUCUCAAAUUCUGCCAUUCUCAAAAUCCCCCGCCGCAAGGCGUGCCGGUUCGAUUCCGGCCCCGGGCACCA